AUUGAACGCUGGCGGCAGGCCUAACACAUGCAAGUCGAACGAGUGGCGCACGGGUGAGUAAUGUCUGGGAAACUGCCUGAUGGAGGGGGAUAACUACUGGAAACGGUAGCUAAUACCGCAUACCAUCAGAUGUGCCCAUAUGGGAUUAGCUAGUUGGUGGGGUAACGUCUCACGAAGGCGACGAUCCCUCGCUGGUCUGAGAGGAUGACCAGCAAAACUGGAACUGAGACACGGUCCAGACUCCUAGGGGAGGAAGCAGUGGGGAAUAUUGCAAAAUGGGCGAAAGCCUGAUGCAGCAAUGCCGCGUGUAUGAAGAAGGCUUUCGGGUUGUAAAGUACUUUCAGCGGGGAGGCGUUACCCGCAGAAGAAGCACCGGCUAACUCCGUGCCAGCAGCCGCGGUAAUUC
rnacentral:rRNA from 1 species